GACUCGGUAGCUUAGUUGGUAAAGCACUUGUCUAGCGUAUAAGGGUCGUAAGUUUAAAUCUCACCUGAGCUG
rfam:Aedes albopictus isolate Foshan contig129914, whole genome shotgun sequence.